CUCCCUUCUCACUGGAGCAAGAAAAGGGCCUUUGGCCCUUUAAGACACUGACUCCCCCACCGUAAUGGUUGGUUCCAUGUUCCCCUACAACAAUGGAUGAGUCCAAGGAUAAUUGAUUGGACUAAUUUAGCCAAGUGGCCUGUGUAUUUAAAGGGUGCCUGAUGAGAAGACUAGGAGAGAGACUUGCCAAGAGAGACACGACACGACACGACACGACACGACACGACACGACACGACACGACACGACACGACACGACACGACACGACACGACACGACUACAGGCUACAGACCUUUGGGGAGAAACAAAUGUACUGCUUUCCCUGUAUAACGGAGUGGUGUGAAACAGUACAUGUCUAGAUGCGUGGACACUUUUAGCUUCGUUUUGUUCCCUUGUUUUGUAGGCUUUGUUUUGUGUGCCUUUUCUGUGUGCCUUGUCUCUGUACCGUGUUUGUGUGCCUUGUAUUGUGCUUAGUGUGUGUAGGGAUUUGUUUUCGAUGGCCAGGUAAUGUACUUAGUUUCAGGUGAGUCUCUGUGCCUAGAUUGGGACCUGGCUUGGGCCGAACAGGUGCCUGUGAUUGGACCUUAGGACAAGCAGGUGCCCAGGGUACAGAGUACUGCAAUACCUCCUGACAUACUGCAGUAUUACAGAGGAAGGCUUUAGUUCUCUUGCAUCAGCACUGAGAUCAAACCCCUCACACAUGAGAGUGCUGGGGCUGUAUGGGAAUAACGCAGGAGACUCAGGAGUGAAGCAUCUUUCUUCUCUUCUGGAGAAUCCCAACUGUAAAGUGGAGAUACUAGACCUGGGAGAAUGCAGUAUUACAGAGGAAGGCUUCAGCUC